UAUAAAUGUUAAUUUUUAAUGCCAGGGUAGUAAUAGUUAUGUUCUUGAAACCCAAAGAAUUUGGCGGUAUUUUAGUCCUUUCAGAGGAAUCUGUCCCGUAAUCGACAAUCCACGAGAUGAAAUUACUCAUUUUUGUAUUUCAGUUUGUAUACCUCCGUCAUAAGAAGAUCUUUUUAGAGAUAAUUUUCUUAAUAUAUUGAAUAUAAAAUGUCAGGUCAAGGUGCAAUUUAUAGAUGAGAGGAGAUGGAUUACAAUAAAUUUAUUUAAAUGGAUUAGAUUAUUUAAUGUUUCUAUGAAGGUGGAUUUGAUAGUAAUUUUAAUUAUUUGUUAUUAUGAUUUUGGCUCUAAAAUAUGC
rnacentral:rRNA from 2 species